UUGUAGGACCGUCUUUGGGCUUCUCGGGAUCUUUUUGUUUGGGCUUGUCAAUUAUGGUCGGCUUUUCUUGUUUCGGCUUCUCGGUAUCUUUUGCUUUGUCUUUCGGCUUUUCGGGCUCUUUCGUUUUGUCCUUGGGCUUCUCGGGCUCCUUGGGCUUUUCAAAGGUGACAGUCUUACCUUUCUCAGGCUCCUUGGGCUUGUCUUUGGGCUUUUCAGGCCCUUUGGGUUUCUCAGGCUCCUUGGGCUUUUCAGGCCCUUUGGGUUUCUCGGGGUCCUUGGGCUUUUCAGGAGCUUUGGGCUUUCCAGGUUCUUUGAUCUCAAUACUCUUGAUUGCUUUUCCUCCUUUACAACACAAUUUGUC
rnacentral:lncRNA from 1 species